rnacentral:rRNA from 1 species
AGCAGCCGCGGUAAUUCCAGCUCCAAUAGCGUAUAUUAAAGUUGUUGCAGUUAAAAAGCUCGUAGUUGAACUUCAGGCCUGGCUGGACGGUCCGCCCUCUGGGUGAGCACUGUCUGUGGUCGGGUCCUACCUUCUGGCGAAGCGGCAUGGCCUUAACCGGCCGUGGCGGGGAACCAGGACUUUUACNGUGAAAAAAUUGAGUGUUCAAAGCAGGCACGCGCUUGAAUACAUUAGCAUGGAAUAAUGGAAUAGGACAAUGGUUCUAUUUGUUGGUUUCUAGGACCGUUGUAAUGAUUAAUAGGGAUAGUUGGGGGCAUUAGUAUUCAAUUGUCAGAGGUGAAAUUCUUGGAUUUAUUGAAGACUAACCACUGCGAAAGCAUUUGCCAAGGAUGUUUUCAUUAAUCAAGAACGAAGUUAAGGGGAUACGAAGACGAUCAGAUACCGUCUAGUCUUAACCAUAAACUAUACGCCGAACUAGGAAUCGGGCGAAUGUUAAACAAUUAGACGCGCUCGGCCACCU